GGAGAGGUGUCUGAGUGGUCUAAAGUGCGGCUCUCGAAAAGCCGUGUCCCGCAAGGGACCGUGAGUUCGAAUCUCACCCUCUCCG
rnacentral:tRNA from 1 species